CCUGCCCCUGGAUAUAAUGCAGAUAUGGCUGCUGUGUCACAUAUGCAACAGUGGGUGGCAGAGCAGAGAGAGGCUAUGUUUAUGCUAAAUUUCCUGACCUAUAAACAUCAGAAUAUCCUAAUAUUCUCUGAAA